rnacentral:rRNA from 1 species
GACGAACGCUGGCGGCGUGCUUAACACAUGCAAGUCGAACGGUUAAGCGCCUUCCUUUUUGGUGGGUGUGGAUGAGUGGCGAACGGGUGAGUAACACGUGAGUAACCUGCCCCCUUCUUCUGGAUAACCGCAUGAAAGUGUGGCUAAUACGGGAUAUUCUGGGUCUGUCGCAUGAUGGGUCUGGGAAAGAUAUUGUUUCGGUGGGGGAUGGGCUCGCGGCGUAUUAGCUUGUUGGUGGGGUGAUGGCGUACCAAGGCGGCGACGGGUAGCCGGCCUGAGAGGAUGAGGAGUCACACUGGAACUGAGACACGGUCCAGACUCCUACGGGAGGCAGCAGUAGGGAAGAUUGGGGAAUGGGCGGAAGCCUGAUCCAGCCAUGCCGCGGGUGUGAAGAAGGUCUUCGGAUUGUAAAGCACUUUAAGUUGGGAGGAAGAGCAGUAAGUUAAUACCUUGCUGUUUUGACGGUACCAACAGAAUAAGCACCGGCUAACUUCGUG